AAUAAAAAGAAAAAGAAAAAGCAACUGGCCUACACACUGAAGCCUCUUGUCAACUAUGGCUAAUUCCUUAUUGUCUUGAGAGGUGCCGGGGCUUCUGCAUCCUUCCUGAGCUGCCCACUUCCCAGAGAACCUCCGGCCCUACGUGGAACUAAGUUACUGAGUCAAUUAUAGACCUGUUACAUUUCUUCAUCUCUCUCCCUCCCCCGCUUUUCCUUCUUCUUUGUAAAUGGAAUCUCGGGUGUAGUCUAGGCUGGCCUAGAACUCUCUAUUUAGCUGAGGAUGACCUUGUAGUAAUUAUCUUGCUGCCUCCCAUCUGCUGAUUGCUGGGAUUAUGGACAAGUACCACCACCAAGCUUGGUUUUAUGCACAGUUGGAGAUCAACACCCUCUCUGCCCCCCCACCAUGUUUAGAGCAUUCUAAUCAACACUCUACCAACUGAGCUCCAUCCCCAGCUGCCUGUGAAAUUUCAGUGCUGCAGAUGUCACAACCCAGUGUUCCAGGCAUUUCCGGCUCUCUGGAGCCUUCCACACAGGGAUUGUAGAAAAAAUAUGUGAACUCGCUGGGAAGAUCAAACAUUUCUUAUUUAUUCACAGGAGUGUGGGCUAGGAAUGGGGAGGCCCAGCCCACAGCCAGUGGAAGAGUGACAGCUUGAUCUCUGUGCAUUGUCUCUGUACUUGGAAUGUGCUGCUGCACCAGGGGCUGUGGCCUGGCGUGUUUAAUAUUUAAUUCACUCAUGGAGAAGCUCUACCAGGGUUAUACUGAACUGUUUCCUCAGAGGGUCUGAUACCAGGGAAACUCAAGAUGAUAAAGGCAAGGCUGUUAGUCCAGUCCUGUCUAGCAGGGGGAGAAUCUAACAUGCAGCCUGCUGUUAUUGACUGGAAAAUACUAUUUGGUCCAUCAGUCAUUGAUUUCUCCUCUAAGACAUCCCUUACCUUGUUAAGCUGGGAGGCUGUAGAGGUAAUACAGGCUAAGAAAGGGAGAAAGUGGAUACGUUAAAUGUUCUUAUAGGAAACUGACUGGUAUUUUUCCAUAAGGUAUUUGAAUUUAAGGCAAUGUAAGAACCCAGGUAAUAAGACAGUCAAAAAAUCAGGGAAGAAUCAUGCAUAGUAGCAUGCGUCUGGAAUCCCAGCCAUGCAGAAGAUGGAGGCAGAAUAGUUCAAGCCUAGGAGUUGAGACAAGCCUGACAACGUGAUGAGACCCUAUUUCGAAAAUAAAUAAACUCACAAGUAAAUAAACUCACAAUUGAUCAAAAUAAAGACUGAGGUGGCCAGAACUAGAAUCCCUGCACUACAGGUAUAGCCCAUACAAUCUUACAAUCUUCCUGGUAGUGUAAUUUUUUUCUUAUUAGUGUAUAUCAGUUAUAUACAGUGUAUAUACAGUGAGUUUCAUCAUGACACUUUUAUACAUGUGCUUCAUGUAUUUUUAUUAUACUUGCUUCCUAUACCCUCUCUUGUCCUCUCCCUACUUCCACUGAUUUCCUUACUCUUUCUUCUUUGUGUGUGUGUGUGUGUGUGUGUGUGUGUGUGUGUGU
rnacentral:lncRNA from 1 species